rnacentral:rRNA from 1 species
GACGAACGCUGGCGGCGUGCCUAAUACAUGCAAGUAGAACGCACAGUUUAUACCGUAGCUUGCUACACCAUAGACUGUGAGUUGCGAACGGGUGAGUAGCGCGUAGGUAACCUGCCUGGUAGCGGGGGAUAACUAUUGGAAACGAUAGCUAAUACCGCAUAAUAUUGAUUAUUGCAUGAUAAUUGAUUGAAAGAUGCUAUUGCAUCACUACCAGAUGGACCUGCGUUGUAUUAGCUAGUAGGUGAGGUAACGGCUCACCUAGGCGACGAUACAUAGCCGACCUGAGAGGGUGAUCGGCCACACUGGGACUGAGACACGGCCCAGACUCCUACGGGAGGCAGCAGUAGGGAAUCUUCGGCAAUGGACGAAAGUCUGACCGAGCAACGCCGCGUGAGUGAAGAAGGGUUUCGGAUCGUAAAGCCCUGUUGUAAGAGAAGAACGGGUGUGAGAGUGGAAAGUUCACACUGUGACGGUAUCUUACCAGAAAGGGACGGCUAACUACGUG